GUGAGUUCGUCGGCCUCCACCACCGCGAAACCUGAACGGCGGUGCACCAUGUUUUCUGGGCUAUGGCAGCGAGGCCACAGUACCUGCUGGGUUCAUGAGCGGGAGGAGGAAGCAUGGCGCUAAGGAAAGCGGGGAGCAGCGGAAGGUCAGAGCCCGAGGGUUCCGAAUGCCCUCCUGCCACACACAGCAUGGCGGCGGCCCGAACCCGCGCCCGACUUCCGUUUCCUGUGCGGGAUUCGUCACUUCCUCUCCGGUGCUCUGGAGCCCCUCAGAGGCUGGGAACCUGAGGCGGUGUGGCUGGCUUCGCCCGCUGGUCUCCUCUCUUCUUGCCUGGUCUCCAGGGCAGCCGCCGCGGCCCCGAGGCUCAGCGGCCCGCGGCUUGUCCCGCGUGGAGGGAUCCACGAGGUCAGGAGGGAUGGAGCCGGGGUGGCGGAGGCGUGUCCACUAGGCUCGUGAUGAAAAGCCACCCCGCGCCGUCGUGGGGCUCGAUGGUGGCCGACGGGGCGCGCGUGGGCAGACGGUGCGCAGUACCCGGGGCUUCGUGGGCGCGUGGAGCGCGCACGGGGUGGGGGGGGCUCGGAAACCCCGAAACUCUUUCGGGUUUUGUUGGCCAUACUGCGGCCAACACCGUGCCCCUGGGCGACAUCCACAGCCCUCUUCCUUUCCUUUCAUUUUGAGACAGAAUCUCGCUGAUCUCCAACUUGCAAUCCUCCUGCCUCGGCCUCCCCAGUCUCUGGGAUUCCUGGUACCUAACCACAUACCGGUCUCUUUAGUUUUAACCAUUAAACUGUUUUUACCAUCCACUGACCACUGUGCUUCUGGUAAACCUUCUGGCUUCUGAGGCCACGUCUAGGAUGAAGAGCCUCAAUUGGGUAGUUUUCAUGGGUGGCAGGCCCCAUUCUUCACCUCCUUUUAUUGAGAUGGCAGUGAAAAGCCAAGGCAAAUAGCCCUAUUAAAGGGGCUGAGAAGGUCACAGGAGACCAGAGCCUUUGACCUUUAUUUUUUAAAUGGACUCUCCCUUGAAGGAGCUUACCACCGAUGUUGACGUGCAAAUAGACACUGUGGGACUUGAAAGUAAGAGAGAUUUUGCCACAGUCCUUAGGAAAGAUGGUCACCAAAUGAGUACCUCCUGACGGCAGACCUAAUGAGCAAGACCACAGCCUCCUUCACCGUGGCAUUGGACCAGGCUGCAAAGCUCGCUCUCCCUCAGAGGUGGCCACAUCCUGCUCUGCUUAGUUGUUAUAUAUUGUUUCUAACCUGAAUUUUGUGGGGUGGGUAGGGGACAGGGGGACAGAGUGCAUCAGAGUCCCCAGGUAGCUGAGGAAUUCAUGGAAUCUGUACAACUCUCACUAUUGCCCAAGUUACAGUGCCGGGUAAAACUGGAAGACUUUUCCCAAGUUUACUACACAGCAAGUAAACCACUGAAAGUCAAGAGUAACAGGCUUGAACAAUUGGAGAGCAGAAGGUGGCA
rnacentral:lncRNA from 1 species